rnacentral:rRNA from 1 species
UACGGAGGGUGCAAGCGUUAUCCGGAUUCACUGGGUUUAAAGGGUGCGUAGGCGGUCAGAUAAGUCAGUGGUGAAAGCCCGCGGCUCAACCGUGGAAUUGCCAUUGAAACUGCCUGACUUGAAUACAGUCGAAGUGGAUGGAAUACAUCAUGUAGCGGUGAAAUGCUUAGAUAUGAUGUAGAACACCAAUUGCGAAGGCAGUUCACUAAGCUGUCAUUGACGCUGAGGCACGAAAGCGUGGGGAGCGAACAGG